GAUGGAGGGGGAUAACUACUGGAAACGGUAGCUAAUACCGCAUAACGUCGCAAGACCAAAGUGGGGGACCUUCGGGCCUCAUGCCAUCAGAUGUGCCCAGAUGGGAUUAGCUAGUAGGUGGGGUAAUGGCUCACCUAGGCGACGAUCCCUAGCUGGUCUGAGAGGAUGACCAGCCACACUGGAACUGAGACACGGUCCAGACUCCUACGGGAGGCAGCAGUGGGGAAUAUUGCACAAUGGGCGCAAGCCUGAUGCAGCCAUGCCGCGUGUAUGAAGAAGGCCUUCGGGUUGUAAAGUACUUUCAGCGAGGAGGAAGGCAUUAAGGUUAAUAACCUUGGUGAUUGACGUUACUCGCAGAAGAAGCACCGGCUAACUCCGUGCCAGCAGCCGCGGUAAUACGGAGGGUGCAAGCGUUAAUCGGAAUUACUGGGCGUAAAGCGCACGCAGGCGGUCUGUCAAGUCGGAUGUGAAAUCCCCGGGCUCAACCUGGGAACUGCAUUCGAAACUGGCAGGCUAGAGUCUUGUAGAGGGGGGUAGAAUUCCAGGUGUAGCGGUGAAAUGCGUAGAGAUCUGGAGGAAUACCGGUGGCGAAGGCGGCCCCCUGGACAAAGACUGACGCUCAGGUGCGAAAGCGUGGGGAGCAAACAGGAUUAGAUACCNUGGUAGUCCACGCCGUAAACGAUGUCGACUUGGAGGUUGUGCCCUUGAGGCGUGGCUUCCGGAGCUAACGCGUUAAGUCGACCGCCUGGGGAGUACGGCCGCAAGGUUAAAACUCAAAUGAAUUGACGGGGGCCCGCACAAGCGGUGGAGCAUGUGGUUUAAUUCGAUGCAACGCGAAGAACCUUACCUACUCUUGACAUCCAGAGAANUUAGCAGAGAUGCUUUGGUGCCUUCGGGAACUCUGAGACAGGUGCUGCAUGGCUGUCGUCAGCUCGUGUUGUGAAAUGUUGGGUUAAGUCCCGCAACGAGCGCAACCCUUAUCCUUUGUUGCCAGCGNNCNGGCCGGGAACUCAAAGGAGACUGCCAGUGAUAAACUGGAGGAAGGUGGGGAUGACGUCAAGUCAUCAUGGCCCUUACGAGUAGGGCUACACACGUGCUACAAUGGCAUAUACAAAGAGAAGCGACCUCGCGAGAGCAAGCGGACCUCAUAAAGUAUGUCGUAGUCCGGAUUGGAGUCUGCAACUCGACUCCAUGAAGUCGGAAUCGCUAGUAAUCGUAGAUCAGAAUGCUACGGUGAAUACGUUCNNNNNNGUUUGAUCAUGGCUCAGUGAGGCCUCCGGACUNUGCUCGAAGAGGUUGGCAANNGACCACUUCGAGCCGGAAAGC
rnacentral:rRNA from 1 species